rnacentral:rRNA from 1 species
UACAGAGGGUGCAAGCGUUGUUCGGAAUUAUUGGGCGUAAAGGGCGCGUAGGCGGCUCUGCACGUUCGUUGUGAAAUCGCCCGGCUCAACUGGGCGGGGUCAGCGGAUACGGCAGAGCUUGAGCAAGCUAGGGGCAAUGGAAUUCCGGUGUAGUGGUGGAAUGCGUAGAUAUCGGGAGGAACACCAGUGGCGAAGGCGGCUACCUGGCCCACUCUUGACGCUGAGGCGCGAAAGCUGAAGGGGAGCAAAGCGGGGGAUUAAGAUGAAUCC